UAAUACGAAGGUCCCCGAGCGUUGUUCGGAAUCACUGGGCGUAAAGGGAGCGUAGGCGGUGCGGUAAGUCAGAUGUGAAAUCCCGGGGCUCAACCCCGGAACUGCAUCCGAUACUGCCGUGCUAGAGGAUUGGAGAGGUAGCUGGAAUUCUUGGUGUAGCAGUGAAAUGCGUGGAUAUCAAGAGGAACACUCGUGGCGAAAGCGAGCUACUGGACAAUACCUGACGCUGAGGCUCGAAGGCUAGGGGAGCGAAAGGGAUUAGAUACCCCUGUAGUCCUAGCAGUAAACGGUGCACGCUUGGUGUGAGGGGAUUCGACCCCCCUUGUGCCGGAGCAAACGCGUUAAGCGUGCCGCCUGGGAAGUACGGUCGCAAGACUAAAACUCAAAGAAAUUGACGGGGACCCGCACAAGCGGUGGAGUAUGUGGCUUAAUUCGAUGCAACGCGAAGAACCUUACCAAGGCUUGACAUGCAUCUCUAAGCGCGUGAAAGCGCGUGACCCUUCGGGGGAUUU
rnacentral:rRNA from 1 species